GACGAACGCUGGCGGCGUGCUUAACACAUGCAAGUCGAACGGAAAGGCCCUGCUUUUGUGGGGUGCUCGAGUGGCGAACGGGGGAGUAACACGUGAGUAACCUGCCCUUGACUUUGGGAUAACUUCAGGAAACUGGGGCUAAUACCGGAUAGGAGCUCCUGCUGCAUGGUGGGGGUUGGAAAGUUUCGGCGGUUGGGGAUGGACUCGCGGCUUAUCAGCUUGUUGGUGGGGUAGUGGCUUACCAAGGCUUUGACGGGUAGCCGGCCUGAGAGGGUGACCGGCCACAUUGGGACUGAGAUACGGCCCAGACUCCUACGGGAGGCAGCAGUGGGGAAUAUUGCACAAUGGGCGGAAGCCUGAUGCAGCAACGCCGCGUGCGGGAUGACGGCCUUCGGGUUGUAAACCGCUUUCGCCUGUGACGAAGCGUGAGUGACGGUAAUGGGUAAAGAAGCACCGGCUAACUACGUG
rnacentral:rRNA from 1 species